ACACAUUCCAGCCAAUCAGCAGCAGACCCUCCCUCCCAGACCCUCCCACCUCCUGGACAGCAUUCAUUUUGAAGCUGCAUUCUUAGUGAGCUGUCCAGGAGGUGGGAGGGUCUGGGAGGGAGGGUCUGCUGCUGAUUUGCUGGAAUGU
rnacentral:miRNA from 1 species